rnacentral:lncRNA from 1 species
GAUUGAUAGGUGCUAGGUAGCCAGAGAACAGUGUGAAGAGCAUAAAAAGAAUGGGCAAGGCACAGCAGUAAAGAGACAGAGUGCUCUAAAUCCAAGAACUGUGCAUUAUUCUGCAUAGGUGAAGAGUAGAGUGGAUGUGGGAAGUCAUAAGGGCUGAGACUAGAGAUGUAGGCAGGGACAAGAUGAUGCAAAGUCUCAUACAACAUUCUGAGGAAGACGUUUACCCUGAAAGAGAUUUUCUGUCAACUGUCUUCAUUUUCACCGUAAGAUUGAUAAGGACAUUUCUAAUUCAUUGGGCAUAGCAUUUUACUUCAUAAAAUCUGCAGUUUAAUGAACAUUGCUACCAAGAACAUCAAGAAGAGCUGCUGAAUGAUAGGCAUUUGGAGAGCAGUUCUUUGUUAAAAAAUGAACUGCACAGCAAAAGCAUGUGAGGAUAAGGAUUUCUGAAUGCUGUCAUGCACACCCUGGUGUUCCCAGCACCGAGCCAUUAAUGCAUCACUGCUGUCCUGUGCUGGAUGAGGGAGGAGAGAGAGUUAAGAGAAGCAGCUGGCUAAGGAGAGCCCCAGGGAUGAGCUCCCAGAGACACUUACCUGGAAAGAAGAAAGCAAUAGCCUUCAUCAUGUCUAGUCCCCUCUUGGCUCCCUGCACUGAAAUCCCAGGGAUCAGCUUGUUGCUGGACAUGCCACUAACUUCUGUGUCAAUGUACACAAACCCAGCACAGUUUGCCAGGAAAGCCGCUGUCUCAAGAAUAUCAAGGAGCGGAGUCUUUCCAGACCACAACUCCUCGCUCCAGGCGUUCGAAUCUGCCUCAAACAAAAGAGGAGACAACGGCGAAGGACGCCCCCCUGCCAUCCUCCUAUCUCACCAUGGCUCCCGCCUCGCUGCAAGCAGCCCCUCAAGGCCAAACGCAGGCUGGUGGGAAAACACCGACCUGCACAAGCUACAUGCGCCCUCUCCCCUACCCAAAACCCCGAAUAAAAAUCCCUACCCAUCCCUCAUCGGGGAGCUAGAAAUUUUUGAGGCAUGAGCCCCAGCUUUGCUCCCUAUGCCUGGC